GGGGAUGUAGCUCAGUGGUAGAGCGCACGCUUUGUAUGUGUGAGGUCCCGAGUUCAAUCCCCGCUAUUUCCA